UACGCCUGUUUUUCAGUUGGUACAUUUUAGCAAUGUGUACCGGGUUUCAGUAGACAAAAAUACCCUUAUAUCAUGAAUUCUAAGUUUUAAGAUUAAGGAUAUUUUAAUAAUUUUCAUUCUCAAAAUUAAAAACAUAAAAAAAGAAACCCCAAAACCCUUACCCACCUCUCUUAUUCCUCUCAACCCUUUCUCUUUCAUCUCUUUCAUUCCAACAUUUUCUCAGUCAUCUCUACUCUAGCCCCAAUUGAAAAAAAUCAGAAACACUUGCCUUAUUUUAAUAACUUUCAUUCUCAAAACUAAAAUAGAAACCUCAAACCCUUACUCACCUCCUUCAUUGCUCUCAACCCUUUCUCCUUCAUCUCUUUCACUCAAACAUUUUAUCUGUCAUCUUUACACUAGCCCCAACUAAAAAAGCACUCAUUAUUAAACAAUUUACUUUUGUAAAGAGUUGAGUCAUUGACAUAUUCACCUUCCGAAAAAAGUUCAUUCAAAAUCUCUUUAAUUUCAUUAUCUUCACUAUAUAUAUUACCGCCGACGGGCACAACUUGCACAAAGACUUAUGAACAUCAUUCUUUUACAUUCUGAUACUACUACGUAACAUUGCUCUGUGGCCAUUUAAUUUUUUUUGGUAGAAAUUCAUUAACUUGUUUUCCUUUACUAAAGAAAAAAUAAAUCAAAAU
rnacentral:lncRNA from 1 species